UUAGCUGGAAAGUUUGCUGGUUGGUGGUAAGACUGGUAGGAUGCUGGUGGUUUUAAGGAGCUGAGUAUUGCUGGAAGAGAAAGAAGUGUGCUCAGCUGGUGGCAGGAUCACUCAUUGGUUUCAGCUUUCCAAAGGAUACCAAAGAAGUCUUUCCAAAAAUAGUGUCUGCAUUUGAGGUCCUCAGCUGAGGACCUUCCCUUUCUGUUUGCACACAGAGCUCUGGGGAUGCUGUCUGAGCAAACCACCCCAGCCCUGAGGAUCCUGAGCUCAUUGUGAUCUGAGAAUAUCACUGCAAGCACCCAGCUCUGCCAGCAGCAAUCUGAGCUGACAGUGUCCUGGUACAUCUCGGAAUGUACCAGACUGAAACUGCAACUUCCAUUUUGCUGCUAAUUGUUUGGAAUUCUUUGAACUCACGUCUGGAGAUGGCACUUAAAACUGCCUCUGCCUGGUGCUCCUCAUAAACAGAUGGAGCGUUUGUUGACGUUUCAGUGACAGCUUGAAAACUUGUCUCCUACCUCUGAGCUGAGCCCUUUCUGCCUUGUCCUCCAUCUGCCAUCUCAUUUUAAAACUAGCAGAACAACUCGAGUGAAGCAAUUCCGACUUUUUCCAUCUGUGCACAGUUAAUUAAGAGGGUAAUGAGAGCUCCGAAUGAACAAGCCCUGCAUUAAUUCAAGAUAUGAUUAAGGGAAACAUCCAAAAAUGAAAAAUAUAUAUAUGUGCCUACGUACAUUUAAAAAAAUAAUAAUCUGAGUCCCUUUUGUCUGUCCCUAUAUUUGCCAACAUUAUGGCUGCUGAUGAUAGAAAAAUGGAGGAAGGACUAUGAAACAGCAUAUCCAUAUUCUGAACAUAAAAUCUGCCCCAGCAGCUCAAAGGUGGGGGGAUGGAGCUGCAGCUGAGGCUUUACAUGAUGGGCUUCCCCCACGUAAGGGCUGUGCAUGCAAAGAUAGGUGUUUGAUACCAGAAAAAGAAAACACUCUGCUUUUUUCUUUGGAUUACAAGGGCAAGCCAUAAUCAAGGGCCUUGAGGUGUGCACAAACCAAGGAAUCAGCUUAACUGCAGUGAAUUCAAAAGGUACGGCUCUCCAUGCCAUUUGCUUUGGUGGCCCUCUGUUGACAGCCAGGCAAUGGGUGAUCACAUGAAUCUACCUUGAGAAAGGUAGAUUACAGCUUACGGCCACAUACUUUCUUGAAUUUCAAUUCUGGUGUAUGCUGGAAAAAGUGAUACACUGUCUUCGGUUUAGUUAGACUAAAGAUGUGGCAAAAAGCCUGACUGGGGAGUUAUGAAUUGAAUCAUACAGGCUGGAAAAGACCUCUAAGAUCACCACGUCGAACCUCAGUCUACCCAACUGUGCCCACUGAUCACGUCCUUCAGUAUAGCUCUGGAACACCUCCAGGGAUGGUGACUGCACCACUCCCAGGCAGCCCAUUACCUCAUACCCAUCCCUAAUACCCAACCUGAACCUCCCCUAGGGCAACAUGAGGCCGUUAUCUCUCGUCCUAUCGCUGUUACCUGGGUGUAGAUGCUGACCCUCUCCUCACUAACACCUCCUGUCAGGAGGUCAGCAAUAAUAUCUCCCUGAGUUCCUCUUUGAGAGCAAGGCAACCUGUGGUGUCAGGAGGAGACCAUGAAUCAGGGCACAGAAAAGGGCCUGAGGAGCCUUCAGAGUGAGGAAGAGGAGUGGCUGCAGAGUGAAGCACAGUCAGCAAGGACUAUCAGCUUCUUCUCUGUGCUGGUUGGCUCUCCCUCGCUUCUUAGCUAGUAUUUUGUUUUACUGGGGGUGGAAAAAUGAGUGGCACUGAGGAGGCUGAGUGAAUUCUUGUUUGGGUUUGUUCUCCCUCUUAGCUUCUUGCAGCAGCAGGAAACACAAG